UACGAAGGGGGCUAGCGUUGUUCGGAAUUACUGGGCGUAAAGAGAGCGUAGGCGGCUCUAUAAGUUGGAUGUGAAAGCCCCGAGCUUAACUUGGGAAUAGCACUCAAUACUGUAGAGCUAGAGUACGAUAGAGGAUGAUGGAAUUCCUAGUGUAGAGGUGAAAUUCGUAGAUAUUAGGAGGAACACCAGUGGCGAAGGCGGUCAUCUGGGUCGUAACUGACGCUAAGGCUCGAAAGCGUGGGGAGCAAACAGG
rnacentral:rRNA from 1 species